rnacentral:rRNA from 1 species
UGGGGAAUUUUGGACAAUGGGCGAAAGCCUGAUCCAGCAAUGCCGCGUGUGUGAAGAAGGCCUUCGGGUUGUAAAGCACUUUUGUCCGGAAAGAAAUCCUUGGCUCUAAUACAGUCGGGGGAUGACGGUACCGGAAGAAUAAGCACCGGCUAACUACGUGCCAGCAGCCGCGGUAAUACGUAGGGUGCAAGCGUUAAUCGGAAUUACUGGGCGUAAAGCGUGCGCAGGCGGUUUGCUAAGACCGAUGUGAAAUCCCCGGGCUCAACCUGGGAACUGCAUUGGUGACUGGCAGGCUAGAGUAUGGCAGAGGGGGGUAGAAUUCCACGUGUAGCAGUGAAAUGCGUAGAGAUGUGGAGGAUACCGAUGGCGAAGGCAGCCCCCUGGGCCAAUACUGACGCUCAUGCACGAAAGCGUGGGGGAGCAAAACAGGAUUAGAUACCCUGGUAGUCCACGCCCUAAACGAUGUCAACUAGUUGUUGGGGAUUCAUUUCCUUAGUAACGUAGCUAACGCGUGAAGUUGACCGCCUGGGGGAGUACGGUCGCAAGAUUAAAACUCAAAUGAAUUGACGGGGUCAUAGCUGUUU